rnacentral:rRNA from 1 species
AAUCAACGCUGGCGGCGUGCCUAACACAUGCAAGUCGAACGCGAAAGCCCGCAAGGGUAAGUAGAGUGGCGCACGGGUGAGUAACACGUGGACAACCUGCCUUUGAGUGGGGAAUAACCUUCCGAAAGGAGGGCUAAUACCGCAUAACACCUCGGGACACAAGUUCUGUGGUUGAAAAGAGCAAUUUGCUCGAAGAGGGGUCCGCGCCUGAUUAGCUAGUUGGUGAGGUAACGGCUCACCAAGGCUUCGAUCAGUAGCCGUCCUGAGAGGGAGCACGGCCACACUGGAACUGAGACACGGUCCAGACUCCUACGGGAGGCAGCAGUGGGGAAUUUUUGGCAAUGGGCGAAAGCCUGACCAAGCAACGCCGCGUGGGUGAUGAAGUAUCUUGGUACGUAAAACCCUUUCGGCAGGGACGAACCUAAUGACGGUACCUGCGGAAGAAGCCCCGGCUAACUCCGUGCCAGCAGCCGC